CUUCUGAAUGCCGGCAGAGGACAUCAGGCACCCAGAAAAGCAGCCCAACUCUUCGAAAGGAGUCAUGUGAACAAAAAGCUGUGAAACCAGCCUGAGUCUUUCCCUGCUGGGGAGGGAAGAGCAGGACACCGGCCAUGAUCAUGUCUGUUUCCAGCAGCCUGGACAAUAGCUAUCCCAGUCAGUCCUUCACUCAGCAGACUGAUUGACAGAAGGGAAUACUUUAGGCGACUGGAUCAUGUCAACGAAUUCUCUGUAGGUGAAAUAGGCUCAGAUAUGAAUAUGUUCUUCACCUGGGGUAGUCUACAAAAGAUUCCUGAGAAAUAGAAGCUACAUUCCAAGAAGGUUUUAACUCAUACUUAUUCAGAAAUCUGAGAGAAAUGAAAUUUCUGGAAAUACUGGAAAUCACUGGAAGACAAACAAAUAAAAAAUAAGUUUCUUAGGAAAAAUAUUAACUCUGCACACUUUUUCAAAUGGGACUCUGACAUUUUAGAAGAUUUAUACAAAUGCAGAAAGAAGACCCCCACCUUGGCAGCAAAGAUUCAUGUGAUGAUUUAGCAGUUUUUGGCUCCAGUCAAGUCAAGACUUCAUAACCAUCUACAAUGCUUGUGGUUAUAAUGCAUAAAAAAGAAGAAGAAUAAACACAGUGUGGUAUAACUAUAAAGAUUGAAAAUACUUUUUAUCAUUCCCUGGAGUUUGAGAAAUCUUCUGGAGUUGGAUAUGGUAGAAUGCUGUUGUAAAAAUUAGGUUUCUCAGAAACUCUUGUGACAUUUCAGUUUCUACUAAAUAAUUGAGUAAAAUUGUUUUCUGUUUCUCAGCCUAUAAAACUAUAGUCACUCCCUCCUUCCCAAUUCAUUGUCCAACAAAUGAGGUACAAGUCUAUUAAAAACAUGAUUAAAGAGUCUGAUUUUGUGUUUGGUAACAGAGGUCAAUGGGUGUGACAAAAGCAAAAUGCCCUGAAGCUGCAAACGGCCUCUUCGGACAAAAAACAGGAGUGUUGGCUACACAGAAAAACCCCAAAUCAGUAAUCAUCUGGUUCCUUAAAGGAAGGCCUUAAAAGUCUCCGUAUAACAAACUUGGUAAGGAGCCUAUGAAAGCUUCUGAUGGAUCACUAAGAGUAAGUCAAGAUUCUUGGAGACUUCACAUAAUUACACUUGCCAAAAAAAUAGGUCUUUUUUCUGUAAGAAUUUGACAUUUAUUUUCAUUGCUUCUGAAAGUAUUUACAAGAAAGCAAAGCAGUGUCAUAUAUAUUGCCGUGGAAGUCAUUCAUUCUCAAUAUAUAGAAACAAUUUUCUAGGCAUGUGAUGCAAAACCUCAGAAUAAUUUUUUAACAUGGAUACACAACACACAUGCACAGCUCUGAAAGAUGUACAGGAGGGGAAAAAAGAGGAAAUAUUAUAUAAGCAAAAUACUCUCUAAAUAAACUUUUUGUGAACAAAAUUAUUAGUACCUACUGGUGUAAAACUAUGGCAAGAAAAACCUGUGGGAAACAAACAUAAUAGAAGAUUAUUAUUUAUAUAAAAGCAACAAGAAUAUUAAACACUUAGAACUACUCUUGACCCACCAAAAACACAUAAAGUAUUAACCCUUGCUGAUAAGUUUAAAAAGAUAUUUUUUCAUUAUAUUUAUUUACAGAAAACUAGCUAAUUGUGAAAAAUGUCAAUUCUGCCCAGUUAAUGUAAUGGCUUCCUUGAAUUUCAACUCAAAUUCAGAAAGGGAGAGCAAAUUUUGAAUAACUAAGAAGCUUUUGAAAAAGAAAA